AAAAUAUGUUGGAUCAGUUUUGAUUUUAGGUUUUGGAGCAGAAAAAAGAGUUGAUAAUCAAACUAGACUUCCAACAUAUAGCUCUAGAAUCUUUUUGGUAGGAAUAUAGCUUUAGAAUCAAUUGAAUAAGAAACCAGAGACAGAUUAUAAGUUGGGGAACUAACAAUCCUACCAUUUUCCUAAGAAGGAAUCCACACAUCUGAAUAGAUCCUAGUGAUGGAGGAAAUGAAAUUACAGAUACAGGGGAAGUGAAUGUGAAUGAGAAGAAGAAGAUCUUCGUUGUUGCCGGAGCUACCGGGAAUACUGGAAAAAUAGAUUGUUGAUCAGCUCCAACUCAAGGGUUUUGCAGUGAAGGCAGAGAGUGGUUCGUGAUAUAGAGAAGGCCAAUACUAGUCUCUCUAACAAUCUGUAUAUGCAAAUUGUGAAAGCCAGUGUAGCAGAAUAAGCUAGCAGCAAGCUGUGGUGAUAUUUGCUAUCAGUUUUCAACCUUUGUGAGAUCUAUUGGCUCCAUGGAAGGGUGAAUUAGUAUUAUGAUUAUUUUUUGGUAGGUAGUUAGUAAUGGUUAUGCAGUUAAUAUCUUCUUUAAUUUUCCUUGACUAUGCUGAGUUCUAUCGUUUAAUUCUUUAACAAACUCAGUAUUUCUUUUUAAUGUGUGUUUGUUCUUUGGAUAUGCAGUUGAUCAUGGAAAUGCAUUCAGGGACACCAAUCAUCAAUUCCUAUAUGAACUUCUGAUGUUGCCUAAGAUCUGUGAAUUAGCAUACUAUGGAUUUUUUUGUGCUUGUGUGCCUUUGAUUUUUAUAUUUGUUUCUGGUGUCAACCCAAUCUGAUUACAUAGUCAACUAAGACAAAAGCAUCUCGACUAACUAAAUUUACUGUUACUCUACUACAUGUGAAUGGAUACCCACUUCAGGGGCAAGCUCCCUAGAUCUUAAGCU